ensembl:lncRNA
GUAAUUGACUCUCACGUUAGAGUGAUGAAGAAGAGACUGAUAUUAUCCUCAUUUUAAAUGUGAAAGGCUUUAGAGUCUUCUUACGGAAUUCUCUCUAAAUUGACUAGCAAAUGUGGAGCAGCUGAUUUAUAUGUUCUUAAAACGAUUAAGAAAGGCAGUAUUUCUUACCUGGUCGUAAGAAUCGUAUCAGUACUAGUUAAAAAUACUGAUGAUCAAGCCCUUUGAUUGGAGAGCCUUGUUUGGUGCUUUCACCAAAUGCCCAUGCGAAUCUUAUGGUCUCUUGGAUUAUAAUGAAGAAGCUGAGACCCAGGGUUGGAGGCAGGUUGGACUCCGUCAGGAUCUGCCCUGACAGCAUGCUCAGCCUGCUAAGUCCUGCAGACUCUGGACCCUGCGCACCCACUUUCUGUGGCUUGGGUACAGAAGAGGAUAAAACAAGCUGUGGGCUGAUCUUGUCUUGAGUCCUUUAUAACAGUAACUUUUCAAGCUGAUCAAAAGCAUGAGCAAGUUGAUUUAUUUCCCUGUGCAUUUACACCCUACAAAUUCAAAUAGCCAUGCUUUACAUGGUCACAGAUCCAUAGCAACCUCUCUGCCUUUCUUCCAUAUUUUCUUCCCGGUAUAAAAUAAUUCUUUGUUUUUUUGAUGGACAAGAAGCUAGAGUAUUUCACCUUCAAGUGAGAAACCUACAUGUAAACAACUUCCUCCAAUCCCUGCUUGACCUUCUCCCCCUCUGCAUUUAACUAUUUAUUUUCCUCUCUCUGAGAGGAUGAUAAUAUUCCUACAUUCCCUCUGGCUUCAGAAGUUUUGCUAAUAGUUAUUUGUGGUCGCGGAUUAUUGCUGCUGCCUAAAACAUUUCUUUGGUAUUUGCUGUUUGAAGAUACUUAGAAAAGGAUUUUCAAGUCAUGGAACAAAACCUUCAACGGAAUGUAAAAUGAAAUAGGAUGUUCAAAUGUGCAGUGGGCUGAAGUACAGUAUUUGCCAUCAGGGCAUGGGAAAGCCUGCGGGUUGACUAAAAAUGUAGCCCCAAGCAGCGUAACAUGAGGUUCUUUAUUCACUCCAGUGUGAGGCACAGUAAUGAAAAAAGAAAAGCGCUCUUCUAAAUGCAGAAGGGGGAUUGACCCAUACUUUCCUUAAGGAAGAAUAGCAAAUAACAAUAGGUUUCUUUGAUGAUAAUUGCUGAAGGUGAUAUGCAAAUUGCUGAUAGUUCCACUGGCACUAGGGACGAUCACAACCUCCUCACAGGGGAAAUGCAGACUUUGGAAUUAGCCUGGAUUUUAGUCUCCGUCAUUUUGCAGCUGGGCAUACUCAGUCUAGUCAUUUAACCCCUUUGUAUCAUCUGGUGUUUGUUCUUCACUCGCAAGAUGGUGGCGAGAGAAUGGGAAAGGGUUUGAAAUUUAAGUGAGUUUAGUUUGUAACUUGCAUGUGUUUUUGGAAAGCAAUUUGUGCAUCCCUUUAUCCUUGUCUGUCAUUAUGACAGGUAUUUUGGAAAUGAAAAUACUUGAGUAAUAAAUAUACUUCUAUAACUGGAUGCAAGAAGGCUCUUACUAGAUUAUCAGCACCUUUAGGACAGGGACCAUCUCUUGUUCUUGUAAUUUGUGACAACUAGAAAACUUCUCUUACGGAACGUGUGCUUAGUCAAUUUUUCACAAAUUAUAGUCCUUUGGAAAAGUUCUAAGGGAACAAAUUAUACUUCUAUUGGUUUCCAGAUUCCUGAGAACACCCAUGUGUUGCAGAAUUAUUAGAAUUUCAUGGUAGAAUCCAACUACACAACAUCUUUUUCUACUACUUUUGUUAAAUUUGGUAAAGAGGUUUUUAUUAGAUAGGGUAGUCU